GUGGGGAAUUUUGGACAAUGGGCGCAAGCCUGAUCCAGCCAUUCCGCGUGCAGGAUGAAGGCCCUCGGGUUGUAAACUGCUUUUGUACGGAACGAAAAGGUUCUCUCUAAUACAGGGGGCUGAUGACGGUACCGUAAGAAUAAGCACCGGCUAACUACGUGCCAGCAGCCGCGGUAAUACGUAGGGUGCAAGCGUUAAUCGGAAUUACUGGGCGUAAAGCGUGCGCAGGCGGUGAUGUAAGACAGAUGUGAAAUCCCCGGGCUCAACCUGGGAACUGCAUUUGUGACUGCAUUGCUGGAGUGCGGCAGAGGGGGAUGGAAUUCCGCGUGUAGCAGUGAAAUGCGUAGAUAUGCGGAGGAACACCGAUGGCGAAGGCAAUCCCCUGGGCCUGCACUGACGCUCAUGCACGAAAGCGUGGGGAGCAAACAGGAUUAGAAACCCUGGUAGUCC
rnacentral:rRNA from 1 species